CUUUCUCCUUGAAGAGUUUAAUUGUUUAAUUGGAAAGUAUUUAAGUUCGUCUCUGUUCUGAAUUCAUUGGACGGCUCAAGGGCAAGUUUAUAAACUGGGCUUAUUACAAAUUAUUAUACGAAGAAGAUUCUAAAGACCAAGGAAAAUUUCAUAUUGUUCCCAAACUGACUAUUAAUCAUAUUCAACCAAGUAACACUAUGAAAAUGAGAGUGUCUUUGGCAACUCAGGUUUUUCACCAAUCUCUUACAUGGUUAAACGAGUGGGGAAAAUGAAUUACUUAAUGGAACAAUAACGAGGCAACAAUUUUUAACAGAAAGUACAGCAGAGGGCUUGCGAGUUACAUUGAUGUCUACCAUAUCAUUAAUAACAGAGUUAAUUGAAAAGUUUGGUUUUAAAUAUAUUCUGACAGGAAAAAUUACACAAGAUUGUUUAGAGCAAUUUUUUGGAACUUUACGACAAGCUGGUUGUCAAAAUGAUCAUCCCAUAUUCCCAACAUUAUUACAGUUAUAUUGAUUGCUAUCAAUAUAUAAAAUUGUGAAACCUCCAAAAUUUGACAAUUGUAGUAUUGAUAAUGAAAUUGAUACCACGAGACCGUUUAUUACACAGGAAGAAUUCCAUACAAUUUUUAAUUCCAAAAAUAAAUUUUACAAAAAGGAACAUUUACAUUUGUUAAAAAAUAAAUUGGAUGGACUCAUUGAAACAUCUGAAUGGGAAUGUGAUGAUAUCAUAGAAGAAGAUUAUGAAAUGCCAGCAGUUAUGUAUUGUAUUAUUUAUUAUGUAUCAGGUUUUAUUUUUACAAAGAAAAUGUUAAAACAUAUCAGUUGUGAUACAUGUCGAGCUUCACUUACACAACAUACAAGUUCAAUACCA